rnacentral:rRNA from 1 species
GGAUUAGAUACCCUGGUAGUCCACGCUGUAAACGAUGAUCACUCCUUGUUGGCGAUACACUGUCAGCGACUAAGCGAAAGCAUUAAGUGAUCCACCUGGGGAGUACGGUCGCAAGAUUGAAACUCAAAGGAAUUGACGGGGGCCCGCACAAGCGGUGGAGCAUGUGGUUUAAUUCGAUGAUACGCGAGGAACCUUACCAAGGCUUAAAUGCAAGAUGACUUUCUGGGAAACCAGAAUUUCCUUCGGGACAGCUUGCAAGGUGCUGCAUGGUUGUCGUCAGCUCGUGUUG